rnacentral:rRNA from 1 species
AUUGAACGCUGGCGGCAGGCCUAACACAUGCAAGUCGAACGGUAGCACAGAGAGCUUGCUCUCGGGUGACGAGUGGCGGACGGGUGAGUAAUGUCUGGGAAACUGCCCGAUGGAGGGGGAUAACUACUGGAAACGGUAGCUAAUACCGCAUAACGUCUUCGGACCAAAGUGGGGGACCUUCGGGCCUCACACCAUCGGAUGUGCCCAGAUGGGAUUAGCUAGUAGGUGGGGUAAUGGCUCACCUAGGCGACGAUCCCUAGCUGGUCUGAGAGAAUGACCAGCCACACUGGAGCUGAGACACGGUCCAGACUCCUACGGGAGGCAGCAGUGGGGAAUAGUGCACAAUGGGCGCAAGCCUGAUGCAGCCAUGCCGCGUGUAUGAAGAAGGCCUUCGGGUUGUAAAGUACUUUCAGCGGGGAGGAAGGCGGUGAAGUUAAUAGCUUCAUCGAUUGACGUUACCCGCAGAAGAAGCACCGGCUAACUCCGUGCCAGCCGCCGCCGUAA